ensembl:lncRNA
CAACCAACAGAGUGGACGUGUUUGAAGACUUCCAAGCGUCAUGGCAAAAUCACAAUUCCGUGAACUGAGGCUUCUAUGGGAGGAAUCGGCAAAAAUUGAUCUGCACUUGGGAACAAUAAUCCUGAGAAACGUUGACGAGAAACAUCUAAAUCAGCCAAGGAUUUCUAAACUGGAGGCAGAUGUUGAAGUGCUACUUGAGGAACACCGAACUAUGAAGAACCAGAUCCUGAUCGGUGAGAGGGUCCUCAUCAACGUCACUGAACGUCUUUCUACAACAAUUGAUGACCUUCAGAAUCAAGUUGAAAGAUGGGACAGAAAAUUCUCGGAGCGAGAUGAGGAAAUGGAACUACUUAAACAGACCAAUGACCAAUGUCUGUCAGAGAUCCAACAAUUCAGACUGCAGGAAAUACAGGUAGAUAGCAGAGAGGAAUUCAUAAUCUAUGUUGAAGACCCAGACUCAUCUGAGUAUUACAGUGACGAAGGGUUCCUCUCAGAGACGGAUGAGACAGAGGAGACACCGGUUGGGGCCAGAAGUUGGUGGUCUGACCUCGCCAAAACUGUGGUGACAGUAGGAUGUAUUGUUGGCAUCGGCAUCGGGUUAAUGGAGCAUUAUAGGACAAAGGAUUAGCACUUUAAUGCCUAACAGCUGCAGUUCAGACUUGAAUUACAGCCAGUCAAACUGCCUCCUCAGGCUGCCAGACCAAUUCUUUUGCCAGAGCAAUUCUUUUAUGUCCAAUACACCUCAUCGCACCUCGUCCCUUCUAAUCAGGUAAAAAUACUGUCACCAAAUAUCACUAUAUUUAAAUAUGGCUAUUGGUUUAUUCAAAAGACAGAUGCAAUCAACUGCAACUCAGCAGAUGAACAAAAUAAGACAUCCCCUUCUAGCAGGUUUUUGCAUGUAUGUGUGGUUGUUUGCCGCCAUAUGUACCUGUGAGUGUGAAUGAAGACCUCAAACCCAACGUGAACUGUGAAGAUUCAUGUUAAGUUAGAGUUCUUGGAGGAACAGUUGUUUCCAAGGAGCUGUCGUCUGACAUGUCGUCUAAGAAAGGAAGCAUGGUCUCAUUCACCUCCCUCACAAUUACUGCUUCUGGAGAUUGGAUGCUUUUCCGUAUCAGUCUGGCUGCCUGAUGGGACGUUUUUGUGGCUCUCAACAGCGUCUGAGGUUCCUGGAGACUCGUCAUCUGUCCCACUCAGGUCAGACACCAGCCUGUCUCUGAAAGUGGUUUCUUUGACUUCGUUCUGGAAUUGUGAAUUUCUGAUUCAUCUUUACUGUAAAACUUUUGAUCAUUUUUGCGGCAUGAUUAAUCAUUUGGUUGAGUCUUGUGGGUGGAGCCAUGUCCCCAAACAGCAAGGCAAUAGAGGUGUUAGAAUUGACUCUGACUCUAACCUCUUCAUUGAUGAUUCUACUAAACAUUUCUGCGCUAUGAUCCUUGAUCUUGCCUUUGACUUCCAGGACAUCUGAGAAGCCUUGCAUCACAGUGUCACCCACAACGGACUUGACUUCAGGCAUCUUUCUGGUCCUUGGAUAGUUGAGCAUGGCUUUUGUGAAGACCGUGACUAUUUUUAUGUUGAUCAACAGCACUUUGAUGGUGGUGGUGCUGUCUGGGAACCCUAACCCACCGACUGACAGCUGAUAUACUGUCAGAGCGAUUAUUGUCGUUACAAAAUGCGUCACAACUAAAGAAGUUAAAUGGAUCAGACUUUUUCUCAGCUGUGAAAGAAGGUGCAAUCUGGACAUCGCUAUUCGUCGCUGACGAUUUACUUUGUGUGUGUUCAAAUGGACUGGAGGACGUCAGCUGACGUUAGCAUCACCGCCAGCGGUUUAAUUACAAAACAAAACUAGACCAAAACAUAGCAAUCAAACGUGACGUUGAAUUGUAUAGCUGUAUGAGGUCU